rnacentral:piRNA from 1 species
UAAGACAGCUAGCAGGUGAUCCGGU